rnacentral:lncRNA from 1 species
CCACAUAGCUGUUUUAUAUACAGAUUAACAUUUGUGAUGCCCCAAGAUAUCAGCUGGAUGCUUUUACAUGGUAGAAGAAUGUGCAGUCCAUAUACUACAGGGUAUUUACAGUGUCCCCUUCAUGGAAAGGAACAUCCUAAAUUUCUCCAUGACAGCUGUGCAACAAGCAUGGAGAAAGUAUGGCAGUUUGUAGUAUGCAGGCAUUGAUCAGCCUGCAUUUGGUAGUCGUAUUGAAGAUAAAGGUGGAUUCGUGCCUAGAGGCCAUUGCGGCUGCAAAAUCAAUAGUUGCACAUAUUGGAUACUCUUCUGCUUAAGUAAAGUCACCCAGUUGGAGUAGAAAACCCAAGCAUUUCUGGGUAUGAAUGAUGUGAACAAAUGGGAGUUUGAUGCCAGAGCCUCAUAAAAAAACAUGCACCAGACUUCCACAUGUAUGCAUGGCUUGAUUUCCACAAAGCUUGGCAGCUGUUGCACUGGUGAAGAGAACAGAGGACGUAAGGAGAUAAUUUCAUCAGAACGGUCUGACACAAUUCCUCCACAGCACAGAGAUGUCUGCUAAGGGAAAUACCUGUCACCACUAAAAACGAUGGCGAUUUUGGCAUUUUAUUCCAGGGAAGACAGGGGUGACCAUAUUGGGUCUCCUUUACUGGUCCUCCUGCUGAGUCCCAUACAGCUCCUCAUUCUGCUUACCUAAUUUUUGUGUAUGCUUUUAGUUACUCAGUGGUCACUGACAAGCAAACUGCUUAAAUUUCCUCCAAAUUAACACGUAGUAUCUGCAUCUCUCACUGCCGUGCUGAUCACUCCC